ensembl:lncRNA
GCUUUGGUGGCCCAGGGUUUCGCGGUUCGGAUCCUGGGUGCCGACAUGGCACUGCUCAUCAAGCCAUGCUGAGGUGGCGUCCCACAUGCCACAGCUAGAAAGACCCACAACUAAGAUAUAUAACUAUGUACUGGGGGGCUUUGGGGAGAAGAAAGAAAAAAAGAGGAAGGUUGGCAACAGAUGUUAGCUCAGGGUCAAUCUUUAAAAAAAGAAGAGAAAUUCAAAGGGUUUCAAAUAAACAAAAUGUUCUUUAAAAAAAGAACAAAGUUGGAGGUUUAAAACCAUUUGACUUUAAGACUUACUAUAAGCUACAAUAAUAAGAGUGAGGUAUUGGUGUAAGUACAUAUAGAUGCAUAUGUAAUAUGCUAAUAUAUUUAACGUAUAUAAUAUAUAUUAUAUAUAACAGUUAAUAUAAGUAGUUAAUUUAAUGCAAAAUAAAACCUCAGUGGGACACCAGUACACACUCACAAGAAGGUCUAUCGUAAAAUGACUAACUGUGAGCCAGCCCUGAUGCUCUAGUGGUUAAAGUUCGGUGCACUGUGCUUUGGCGGCCCAGGUUCAUUUCCCAGUUGUAGAACCACACCGCCCGCCUGUCAGCAGCCAUGUUGCAGCAGCAGCUCACAUAGAAAAACUAGAAGGACUUCCAACUAGGACACACAACCAUGCACUGGGGCUUUGGGGAGAAAAAAAAAAGACUGACCAUACUGUGAGGUCGUGGAGCACCUGGGACGCUCGCACGCUGACGGCGGGAGUUUGAAGUGGCACACCCACCUGGAGAACCGACAGUUUUCCAUAAAGUGAAAUUUACACUUACCUGACGACCCAGUCAUUCCACUCUCGAGUAUCUACUCAAGAUAAAUAAAAUCACACAUCCACACAAAGAUUUGUACAAGGAUGUUCGCAGCAGCUUUAUUUGUAACAGUCAAAAAGUGGAAACAGCCCCAAGUCCAUCAACAAGAGAGAGGGUAGCGUGGUCUACCCUCAUCACAGAUAAUGCUCAGUUGUGAGAUGACCAACGACUGACACAAGAAGCAGCGUGAGGAUCGCAAAACAUUUUGCUGAGGGAAAGCAGUCAGACACCAAGGAGCGUGUGCUGUGUGCUUCCACACCUGUGAGGUCCUAGAACAGGUGACGCCAUCUUCAGGGACCAGGAGGAGAUGGGCAGAGGGCUGGGCGGGCGGAGACAUGCACUACAAAGGGCACAGGCCUGGGGCGGCGGGGGGGGGACUUGGUCUGUCCCUGAGCGUGGCGGUUACACGGCGUGUGCACUUGUACAAAGUUGUCAGACUGCGUAGUAUGUGUACUCUGUCUUUUAUGUGACUUGUACCUCAUAAGACUGAUUGUAAAGGUCAUGAAAAGGCACCCUGUUUGUACAGUACGAUAUCGUCCCCUUGUUCUUUGCCCCAGAGAUGGCUGGAGGACCCACCCGUGAGAAGCGCUGAUCUUGCAGCAUCCGGGGGAUUUGAGGGAGGCAAGCAGUCAGGACGGCCUCGCAUCUCCCGCCAGACGCACAGACCUCAUUUUUCUGUAGGAUGGUGGGACUGAAGGGAAGGAGAGGCUGUGGAGUGAGGAAUGGGAUGACGCUGGAUGUGGGAAUCUGGUACCGGGUGGAAAAACGCCUGAACUUCUCACACCUUGGGAGAGAAGGGCAGGCAUUUCCUUUUGAAAAAAGAUGCUGAGCAAGACCUGGAUGCCCCUCAUUCCGGGAACCCCCGGUCCUGCAACUCCCACCUGCAGGCAGCCUGGACACAGGGGCCCCCUGCUGUGGGGCCGCCCCAGAGGACAGCCAACAAGGGCCCUGGACCUCAGCCGCUGGGGGCCAGGUUCUCCCACCUCUGGUCUCAUUACCCUAUUCUGCUCUCACGGAUUUGGGAACUGCACAGAGCUUGUGUGUGUACAUAUCUGCCAAUAUUUAGGAUAUUAGAAAUGAAAACAGGAAUUUAAAAAUAUUUACUUAUUGGUCCAUUUCAAAUCUACAAGGAUAGACUCAUUAUACGCUAACAUAAAUAACGUGAUUUUAAUGAAAAGGCUAUAUUUUCAAAAAACAAAACCAGCUGUGAGAGGAGGGGCGCUGUGGUACGUUCUUAGGAAUCUUGAAUGUCUGGAGAGAGCUGGGUUCUCACACCUGCUUCUGCAUCCAGACUGCGUGAUAGGUUGUUGGGGGCUGACUCUGGGGAGGAAAUGUGGCCUCACGCAGAUGUGGAGUUGUGGGGAAGCAUACCGAGAGGGUCUUUUCAGAUAACUGGGGAUAUCCUUUGAUAUGACACCAACACCUAACAAAAGGUCAUUUCUUAAAGGUUUGUUGCAGUGUGGGACCUGAAACCAAAUCAACGGACUUUUUGUGCUCUGUCCAUCUGUGAGAGAAUGAGGAUGAAGAAGACAAACAACACUGUGGUGUUAUUACCAAUCUAGGUUUGGCCUCACAGACCCUGAAAGGACCUCAGGAACCCUGCGGUCCCCAGACCACACUUUGAGAACCGCUGUGCUGUCAUCAGGGCCUGUCCGGAGCCCCCAGAGCUCUCUGUGAGACCUCCCUCGGUGUCGGCUGUCUGGAGGGGUCGUGGGCCCGAACCCCUGGCCUCCUGGACAUUUUGAAGCACGUCGUCUCAGGGGGCAUCAGUGUGAAAUCGGGUGAGGAUGAUGGCAGCCCCACAGCUGUCUGCCCCGCUUUGACCCUCCCGCCUCCUCGGGCACAGCCGGGUACUCCCU